GAGUUUGAUCAUGGCUCAGAUUGAACGCUGGCGGCAGGCCUAACACAUGCAAGUCGAACGGUAACAGGAAGCAGCUUGCUGCUUCGCUGACGAGUGGCGGACGGGUGAGUAAUGUCUGGGAAGCUGCCUGAUGGAGGGGGAUAACUACUGGAAACGGUAGCUAAUACCGCAUAAUGUCGCAAGACCAAAGAGGGGGACCUUCGGGCCUCUUGCCAUCGGAUGUGCCCAGAUGGGAUUAGCUUGUUGGUGGGGUAACGGCUCACCAAGGCGACGAUCCCUAGCUGGUCUGAGAGGAUGACCAGCCACACUGGAACUGAGACACGGUCCAGACUCCUACGGGAGGCAGCAGUGGGGAAUAUUGCACAAUGGGCGCAAGCCUGAUGCAGCCAUGCCGCGUGUAUGAAGAAGGCCUUCGGGUUGUAAAGUACUUUCAGCGGGGAGGAAGGGAGUAAAGUUAAUACCUUUGCUCAUUGACGUUACCCGCAGAAGAAGCACCGGCUAACCCCGUGCCAGCAGCCGCGGUAAUACGGAGGGUGCAAGCGUUAAUCGGAAUUACUGGGCGUAAAGCGCACGCAGGCGGUUUGUUAAGUCAGAUGUGAAAUCCCCGGGCUCAACCUGGGAACUGCAUCUGAUACUGGCAAGCUUGAGUCUCGUAGAGGGGGGUAGAAUUCCAGGUGUAGCGGUGAAAUGCGUAGAGAUCUGGAGGAAUACCGGUGGCGAAGGCGGCCCCCUGGACGAAGACUGACGCUCAGGUGCGAAAGCGUGGGGAGCAAACAGGAUUAGAUACCCUGGUAGUCCACGCCGUAAACGAUGUCGACUUGAAGGUUGUGCCCUUGAGGCGUGGCUUCCGGAGCUAACGCGUUAAGUCGACCGCCUGGGGAGUACGGCCGCAAGGUUAAAACUCAAAUGAAUUGACGGGGGCCCGCACAAGCGGUGGAGCAUGUGGUUUAAUUCGAUGCAACGCGAAGAACCUUACCUGGUCUUGACAUCCACGGAAGUUUUCAGAGAUGAGAAUGUGCCUUCGGGAACCGUGAGACAGGUGCUGCAUGGCUGUCGUCAGCUCGUGUUGUGAAAUGUUGGGUUAAGUCCCGCAACGAGCGCAACCCUUAUCCUUUGUUGCCAGCGGUCCGGCCGGGAACUCAAAGGAGACUGCCAGUGAUAAACUGGAGGAAGGUGGGGAUGACGUCAAGUCAUCAUGGCCCUUACGACCAGGGCUACACACGUGCUACAAUGGCGCAUACAAAGAGAAGCGACCUCGCGAGAGCAAGCGGACCUCAUAAAGUGCGUCGUAGUCCGGAUUGGAGUCUGCAACUCGACUCCAUGAAGUCGGAAUCGCUAGUAAUCGUGGAUCAGAAUGCCACGGUGAAUACGUUCCCGGGCCUUGUACACACCGCCCGUCACACCAUGGGAGUGGGUUGCAAAAGAAGUAGGUAGCUUAACCUACGGGAGGGCGCUUACCACUUUGUGAUUCAUGACUGGGGUGAAGUCGGAACAAGGUA
rnacentral:rRNA from 1 species